CACUAUAGACAACUGUUUGGUGCUAAUCGCUCGAUCGCCUCCUCCAGCCAAUCAAUACACAAACCAGUGACAUCACCACAACACGCACUGCUGUCCUGCAAUGUCUGCACCUGUAUGUUGGAGAUAAUUCCAGCGAAUUCUUCCUCAGCUGCUCAGAUUCUCAGGAGCCUGUUGGCGUUCUGAGCAUCAUGACUGAGGACACGCUGCCACUGAUUAACAGCAUUGCAGUCAUCCUUGAAGGAAACUUUGUCAUGGAUGAGAUUCCCACAACCUCUCAAGCACUUUGUCUUCUGUUCGGGUUAAUGUUUGCACCCCAUCUGGAUUACCCCAAAGGUAUGAAGAACACAUUUGAGUUCAUCCAGAAGAUAUUGUUGAACCUCGGACAACAAAACCUUAGCCCAAAACUGCAAACAUUAAAAAAUGCUCUUUUGUUCUAGACGUUGUGUAGGGAUAGCUGUACUGGUUUUCUACAUAUGUGUGGUAUGUGAAUGAGUAUGAUGGGGCUGAACAACUAAACAAAACAUUAUUUAAUAUUUUAUGUGUAUAUUUUUACUGUAUUGAAUAUUAUGUUUAACUUGAUUCUUUUUUUUAUGUUUUGAUAAUGAAACCAUGACAGAAUACUUUUCUUUUUAAAUUUUUUGGUGGAGCUGCAGAGGCCUCUAUGUUGUAUUCUUAAGAAAUAUAUAGACACAUUUUAUACACAACAUGGUGAGAAUGAUUCUUCUAACAAAAAUUAUGAAUCCUUACAAUAACUGUCAAAAGAAUAGCAUUGUUUUUUGGUUUUUUUUGUUUGUUUGUUUGUUUUACUCAGCCUCAUUUCAUCUCAUACUCAUCUGGCUCAAUAUUAUGGGUGUGCAGUUACUGGUACCUCAUAAUUACAGAAAGGGAGGAAGUACUUCAGGAGCCAACAGUAUUAAAAAAAAAAAAGAAAAGUAUCUAUUGAGAUACCUACUUGUUGUAUUUGCUGAGUUUUGCAUUUCAGAUUGGAAAGUAUAAAAAAGUGCCAUCAGUGCAUGUGUUCAGUGAGUAAAAACUGUUGAAAAAGAGCAUACAGUAUAUGAUGUUUAGUAUUAGUGUAGUGGGCAACAAAUGUUGAAUAUAUCAAAGUUGUUAAAGCUGACUUACAUUUUGCUGCUUUGAAGGUAUGUAAUAAUCCAGUUUUAAUUAUCAGGUUUUAUUCAGGUUUUAAUUUUUUACAGACUAAAUGUUGCCAGGUCUGUUUGUUGCUGUGAGACAUUCAGGAAAGUGUCCAUUGUGAAUCAAGGGCCUUCUGUUAGCUUAUACCCAGACCAGUCAGCACACCUCACUCAUGCUCAUUCUCACUUUCAAGUCUCACUCAUACAUCACAUCACUGACAUACACUUACAUCUCACUCAUAUGCACACUCAUACACUCAGUCUCUCUCCCAAACGCGUAAUAUUGAGGCAGUAAUUUAGAGGAAGGCAUAACUUAGCAGGAAUCCGAAGCAAUCAGCCAACUACAAGGAAGGAUUUGCCUCUAAUUGGCCUUAGCAUCAUUUAUUCCCCCUGUUUUCUCUCCUCUGGUCGCCGACUGGCCUGGUUCUCUGCUAACAGAAGGGUUUGGACUAAGCUGAACAAUUAAUCGCAGUAUUAACAAAAAUCAUAUGGCCAAGUACUAUUAUUCAAAUUACAGUAUAUGUAUUUUUUUUGAUAGGUCAAAUUUGGUAAACCCCAUUAAAAACUAAGUAUAUGUGGUGCUAAAGAGAUAGUCUGUCCUUUAUUCAUCUAUCCCUUCCAAUUGUUCAGCCAAACUCAACCUUUGAUGAUCUCUUUACAGACAAGUUUACAAAUGAACAGCAUGUUGAUUAUUAUUGUUGUUGUUUACAGAUACUGAAAUAAAAAAACAUGUUUGUAUUGCCA